rnacentral:pre_miRNA from 1 species
AUUCUACUCCCUCUGUUGCACAAUACAUGCCUUCUAUUUGUCAAAAUAUAUAUGUAUCUAGACAUGUUUUAGUAUAUAGGUACAUCUAUUUUUGGACAAAUGGAAGUCAAGUAUUUUGGAACGGAGGGAGUACACA